rnacentral:rRNA from 1 species
UAGUAUCAGCGUGCUAGCAGCCGCGGUAAUACGAAGGGGGCUAGCGUUGUUCGGAAUUACUGGGCGUAAAGCGCACGUAGGCGGGUUAUUAAGUCAGGGGUGAAAUCCCGGAGCUCAACUCCGGAACUGCCUUUGAUACUGGUAAUCUAGAGAUCGGAAGAGGUUAGUGGAAUUCCCAGUGUAGAGGUGAAAUUCGUAGAUAUUGGGAAGAACACCAGUGGCGAAGGCGGCUAACUGGUCCGAUACUGACGCUGAGGUGCGAAAGCGUGGGGAGCAAACGAGGAUUAGAUACCCUGGUAGUCCACGCCGUAAACUAUGGAAGCUAGCCCGUCAGUCAGCUUGCUGAGUGGUGGCGCAGCUAACGCAUUAAGC